GAUGAAGAACGUAGCGAAAUGCGAUAAGUAGUGUGAAUUGCAGAAUUCAGUGAAUCAUCGAAUCUUUGAACGCACAUUGCGCCCCUUGGUAUUCCAUGGGGCAUGCCUGUUCGAGCGUCAUUUGUACCUUCAAGCUCUGCUUGGUGUUGGGUGUUUGUCUCGCCUCUGCGUGUAGACUCGCCUCAAAACAAUUGGCAGCCGGCGUAUUGAUUUCGGAGCGCAGUACAUCUCGCGCUUUGCACUCAUAACGACGACGUCCAAAAGUACAUUUUUACACUCUUGACCUCGGAUCAGGUAGGGAUACCCGCUGAACUUAAGCAUAUCAAUAGGCGGAGGA
rnacentral:misc_RNA from 1 species